UUUUUUUUUUUCUUACUUAAAUAUUGCUCCCACACAAGCAAAGAGCCCCAGCUCUCCGUCCCAGAAAAGGCUGGUGGGUCUUGUUCAGUUUGGAGGAUUCAUGACAGAUACAAAUGCUAAUAAUUCUUUGGAAACAAUAGAGAAAAUACUUCAGAAUUCCCCAAGCAUUUUAAAACACUUUCUCAUUCUAAUAUUUGCUGAAGACCGAUUAUGUGAAAUUUGAUCUCACUUAUUUCUAAAACAAGUAGCUGAAUGGCUCUUGGUAACUAGGCAGCAUUGAAAUUUGUUAACUUCCUUUCUAAUGAACCAAUAUUUGAAAAAUUAAAAUGAGAGAAAUAGUUAAGAUAGGUUCAGAUUUUUUAUUACCCCCUUACAAUUAUAUAGGCAAGGAAAUCAGCUAUCCUGCAGCAUAAUGUAACCUCAAGGGAACUGGGAUUUGAUAGGUUAUGUACAAGGGAUGAUGGGAAUUGCAAGAAGCAGGAGUUUUUCCAGUAUCCCAUGAUGAGCUGAGGUUCCUGGGAUGUUACAGAAGCAUACAAAGGAUUCAGGGGACAAGAAGAUUUUUGUUCUCCUUUGCUUAUUUUUAUGUGGCCCUUGAUUUCAGUCUCCUUUAGAAAUCAUCAGUUCUUUACUUCAACUACCCAUCAUUACUUCUCUCCAUCUGAUAACAGCCUUUACCCCUUGGGCACAGGGAUAUGACCAUGAAGCAAGUUAGAGCAACAUGUUUCUGGACAGAAUGGUUAGCAAACAAUAUGUUAUAAUAUUAGUCAAAUUGGGAUGCUCUCUGGGAAAAUUUUCAAUUGUAGUUGCUAGAGAAGUGCUCAUUUCUUCCCAGUGGGGAGCUAAAAAGAAGUGAGCCAAGAGUAGCAGAAAGUCAUGUUUUGUCUUAGAGGAGCUAAAGAUUUUAAAAGCCACAAUGUACAAACAGAAUCAUAACUGUAUCUGAAGUCCUAGUCCCAGAUGUCUCAAUGGCCAGAUGUCUCCCACUUUUUCUGUAGUUCAAUUGUAUAAGCCAAUGCAGAUCUCUUUUGUUUACUGACUGAAACAAUAACCUCAAAUAUAAAAGUGACUUCCUCUACUGCUCCAUUGUGUUUGAAUUGAGUGCUAUUUUCUCUAGUAUAUCAGCUCAGAAUGGUAUAUGGCUAUAAGUGUAAGAAGGAAGAGAGGAAGGGAGGGAGGAAGGAAGCAGAGAGGAAAAAAGGAAGAAAGUUACAUUCUUACCUCAUACAGAAAUUAAUUCAAAAUGAAUCAUAGACACAAGUGGAAGAAUGAAAACUAUAAAAACUUCUAGAAGAAAAUAUAAAUGUAAAUUUUUGUGGUUUGGAUUAAGCAAUGGUUUCAUAGAUAAAACACCAAAAAAGAUAUACGAACAUCUAAUAAGCACAUGAAAAGAUGCUCAGAAUUGUACCUCAGUGUUCAGAAAAGUAUUUUUACAAUUACCAAGAUAUGGAAGCAACCUAGCUGUCCAUCAAUAGAUGAACAGAUAAAGAAGAUGUACCCCCCCACACACAUACAUUGGAAUACUACUCAGCCAUAAAAAAGAAUGAAAAUUUUUGCCAUUUCCAACAACAUGGAUUGACUUGGAGGGCAUUAUGCUAAGCAAAAUAAUUCAGAGAAAGGCUAAUAACUACAUGAUAUCACUUACAUAUGAAAUCUAAAAUAUAAAACCAGUGAUUUUUUCUUUUUUUAAAGAAAGAGACUCAUAGAGAAAAAAACUAGUGGUUACUAGUGAGGAGAGGGAAAGCAGAUGGGCAAGGUAGGGGUAUGGAAUUAAGAGGUAAAAACAACUGUGUAUAAAAUCAAUAAAUCACAAGAAUCUAUCGUACAAUGUAGGGAAUAUAGCCAAUAUUUUGUAACUAUAAAUGGAGCAUAUCCUUUAAAAAUCAUGAAUCACAGGUGUUACACACUUGAAACUCAUAUAAUAUUGUACAUAAAUUACACCUCAAUUAAAAUCCUCAAAAUCAUUAGUCAUUAGGGAAAUGCGCAUUGAAACCACAAUGAGAUCCUCUUCAUAACCAUUAGUAUCACCAGUAUUAAUAAGAUGAAGAAUAAAUAUGUUGGUGAGGAUGUGGAGAAAUUGAAAUUUAUAUUAAAACGUCCAGAAGUGAGGGGGAGGUACAUUAGUAGUUGCCAGGUCUGGGGGUAAAGUGGAUGGGGAGAGACUGCUAAUGGGUAUGGGAUUUCUUUGGAGGAUGACGACAAAGCUCUGGAAUUAGAUAGUGGGGAUGGUUGCAACAACUCUGUGAAUAUACUAAAAACCCUGGACUUGUACAUUUUUAAGGGGUAGAUUCCAUUGUAUGUGAAUUAUAUAUCAUAAAAUUGUUAUUAGAAAAACAACAAAAUAAAUAGUUUGGACUAUAUAAAUUCCCAAAGCAAAAUUUAAGAGGGGAGGGUUUUUUUUGUUUGUUUUUUAAAUUAAUUUCCUACAUUUUUUUUAAAUGGUGGGUUCAUAGGGGAAAAAAAAAACUGUUUAGAGCUCUGAGAAUGUGGAACAAAAUUGUCUAGAUAAAUGAUUAGCUGCUGAUCAGAUUUUUUUUUAACCACAGAAGCUACAUGGACAAAUAAAAUUUCCUGGAAAAAUUGCAAGGCAAUUUCAAAGGAUCCCAGCCCUGCAGUCCUCAUAUACAACUAGAACUAAUCUACACAAACCUGGCUUCAAAUCCUAUCACUGCCAUUUAGUCUUUAUAGACAUAAUAAAGCUGGUGUUCAACAACCUGAUUUCUCUUAAGGAGUACACCACGGGCUGUGAUAUAGUUGUGACAUCCUUUCCAUGUUAACAACUUGGACGGCCAGCAGACAGGUGGUCCCUUCCCUUCCUCUCCACUCUAUGCACAUUCCUUGCAGAAUGUAGACUCCAUCAAAGCGAAAAAAAACUUUUUAGGAGAGAAACAUGUAGGAAGUGCUCUGGUUCUCUCUACCAGAAAUCUAUUAAUGGAUGUACCUUGUGCCAUAUUGAGCAAAAUGUGUGCUUUCUCUUUUUCAGCUAAAGUUGACCAGCAUGACUAAUACUAAAGGGCUUGGUCCUUAAAUCCACUAAAGUUUAGCAUUUGGGUCAUGUGGGAGGCUGAAACACAACAGAAGCUCUCAUACAGAAAUGCCCUAGACACUACAGGAAAAGCUCCUGGAAAAGGGUGCAGGGAAUCCAAAUAAGGAGUCAAUCUACUUCUACAUCUUUGUAUGCUCCUUGCUGCUACUCAUGAAGGUAGGCUGUUCUCACCUGGAGGACCAAUUAUCCUCUAUGAAUCUCAUGAUGACAUGCUAUCAACUGAAAAAGGAAGCACAGUCCACUACUGUACUUACUACAAUGGCUCAGAUAUUAGGGGAGGGGAUAGUGACACAUGUUCAUAAAUACAAAAUGAAAAGCUCCCUUUUAUUUUCUUAUGUCCAACAUAUUAGAAGAAAUUUUGCCUUUCCAGCUGCUAGCCAUCCCUCUCCAAAGGAACACUGAUUCAUUCAUUUUUUGCUUUUGCUGAGGUUGUGAGACCUAUUAUUCUGGGUCUGACAUCUCUUUUCAUUUAACUUUCCAAGAUCUACAGGACAGUAAAAAUGAAUCUAUGUAUUAUGGUGUGUUUAAGGAAACUUGGGAUUAAGAAUGGGGGAGGAGGCAAAGAGGAAAAGGGUGUAUUCCUUUGAUCCACAACUGCACAAAGAAAGGCAUGGUACAAGGCUUGGAAAAUCCUAGUUUCUUUAAAAAAAUGAAUCUGAAAUAACUCUUUUAUGCUGUAUAUUAAAGCUAGAACUGAGUUUAGCCAACCAUGGAUACUUUAUGAGAUUGGAUCUUAAUCAUAUUGAUUUAUCACUACCCCCAAAAAUAUAUCUGACCAAAGUUUCUGAGAAAUACACUCUUCUUACAAUGAUUGGAUUUGUACAGUAACUAUGUUUCAUAUCAUAUUAGUGUUAAUUUUAUAAGCUGAAUUCUAAUAUGACUGGAAGAGAUAAUUGUGGUAGUCAUAUUUCAUUAAGUUUUUAGCUAUAUAUAUGAAAAUUACUGGUAAGGGGAAAUUUUAAAAAACUUAUUUUGUAGUUGGAAGUAUUUGGUAAAAGGGUGGUUUUCAAGUCAUAGCUUAGGUAAAUGAAGGUUGAAACAUGUUCUUAAGUGUUUUCCAAGCUAGUUCCAGUCUCCCUCUCUAUAGUAGCAAUCAUAAGCUACAUGGGUUAAGGAUCCGGCAUUGCCAUGAGCUGUGGUAUAGGUUGCAGACACGGCUCAGAUCCCGCACUGCUGUGGCUCUGGCGUAGGCUGGCAGCUACAGGUCCGAUUAGACCCCUAGCACUAAAUAUUAAGGGGUCCUGUUCUUCUUUAACUGAGUGUGUUCCAUGGCAUGGCCCAUGAACACAGAAACGUUAAGUCAGCUCUGGGCUUUAUUCAAGUUAUUAGAAGCAUCUCAGCUGAUCUUCCACCAUAUCCUCAAAGUGACCUUUCUGUGCCUCACAUUUGAAACAACUUAUGAAAACUGUUCCAUAUGUCAAACUUCAUUUCAUUCAAUUUUCUCCUGGUUGAAAAUUGACACUAAAGAUGUUUUGUCUUUCAGAACAUUUUCCUUUGGGAGCCAAAGGCCCGAUGAUGUAUAAUCCUUCCUGAAGGUUUUAUGGCAAGGCUUCACAAAGCAAACAUUUUUUUCCUCUUAUUUUAUAUCACCCUGACAAACAGAAAUGCUGAGCCAUUUAAUUACAGAGCCUGCCUGACACAUCCAGAGAGUCAAAUAUUCCAGCAGCAUCUAGCUGAAGGGGAAAAAUGCACUGAACUCCCCGAGUUGCUUGUCAAGACAAUGACACCAAGGAAACUAGUAAAUAAUCUGGCAGGUCAGAGGGUGGAUACUACGGUGUGCCAGAGUGGUCCCCAUGGCUCUGUGUCAGCACCAUUAGUCCUGUAGCAUCUCAUCCCAUGAUGGUAAUACAUGAUCUGAGCUUUAGGCUGAGCAGCCAGGAAAUGAUGAGAACACAGGUCAGAACGAAGGUCAAGCCACAGGCCCAUAGAUCAUCUCUUGAUCUGGGUUUUACAGAAAUGUCCAGAUUGAGAGCUUGCACUCUUAAUUCUCAAACUAACUCACAAAAAGAAUCUGCACAGAUACAACUGAAUAUUCGUCCCUCUAUAUCCAAGAUGUGACAGACAGUCCCCAGGACCAGGCACGAGUGCACUGAGAUAUUAUGUCCUAUAAUGUUUCAAAGCUCCAACACAUAAUCAAAAUAUCUUAGGUUACAUCUAUUUAACGCCCUUUCUAUCCCUUUAGAAUAGUUAAUCCCUGUGAUAAUUUCCAGUCCAUUUUAUGGCAAUAACUAAAGUAUGAAAGUCACUCUCUUGAAUGCUUCUUGUUUGCAUGAUUUAUAUUUUUCUUUCUUUCUUCUAUCAAUCAUACAGUAAAAAGAAAGAAUAAAAGUAGACCUCCUAUGAAUCAGGCACUAAUCUAAGCACUGGAUUGAGCAGUGGUGACAAGGUCACUACAUUUAAGGAAAUUACAUCCGAGAGUCAGGAGGCAAAAUAAACAUGUAAUAAGAUUAUUUUGGGGUUGUAUAUGUUCUGAAUAAAAUAGUCUACAGAGUGAUACAGAAUAGAGUGGUGGGAUGCUUUCUCAGGAUGGCCAGGGAAGUUCACGUUGAAGUGAUGAUUGUUAACUUGAGAUAUGAAGGAUGAAAAUGAUAAAAGGAGGCAGCCAAGAACUAUUUGGGUGAAGAAUGUUGCAGGAAAAAGAAAUAACAUGUGUAAACGCCCUAAGACAGAAAUGAGAGGGGAUGAGCUUUAUGGAAAGAAAGGUCAGUGAGGUCAGAAAGUAUUGAAUGAAGAGUAGAGUGGACGGAAAUGACACAGGGGAGGUUUUCAGAGGACAGAUCAUGUAAUGCAUUGGAGGCAUAUAUUUUGAAAAUGAAGAAGUAAAACUGCCUUUAAUCACAAACAGUAUGAUCCCAGUUGCAUAAUACUCCAUAAAGAUUAUACCCCAAACCUAGUAGAGCCAAUAACAAAAUUUAAGAAUAGCAUAAGGUCAGUGCAUACUGCAUUUCUACAUACUAGGAAAGAAAAAUUCAAAAGUUCGGUCAAGAUA
rnacentral:lncRNA from 1 species